rnacentral:tRNA from 1 species
GCCUGGGUGGCUCAGUGGUUGAGCAUCUGUCUUUGGCUCAGGUCGUGAUUCCCGGGUCCUGGGAUCGAGUCCCACAUCGGGCU